rnacentral:lncRNA from 1 species
UAUCAUAAAACUCUAUAUGCACGCUGAAUACAUAGGCCAUACUAUGUAUCAUAAAACAGUCAAGCUCGAACUGGUACCAAUUCAGAACGGCACUCAGGGUAGACAUGAGAUGGUCUCAACAGAACUUCCUGCGGUACCGCAGGAAAGUAAAAACCUAAUAUGAUCCGACGUACAAUUACGGGAAACGAUCAUAACCCCUUAAUCUUGCCAGAUCCCGACAUCCUUUUUGACUGUGACGAAUGAUUUCAAUACAAAAUAUAAAUGAACAAUUAGAAUCAAGUAAUCAAGAUAAAAGCUGCAUAAUCUUUAUCCAAAUAAAGUCAAAAGUUAAAUGCAUUCCAGGCGAAGAACUAAUAGCAGGUAUUGAUAAUUCCAUUCUGACACUACUGGUGUCUGAAUAUUUAGAUAAAGGUGGUAGCCAUUCAUGAAAAUUAGCAUUGACAUAUAUAGUUCUCGAACGUAUGAUUCAGCUAGCAAAUCCAUCGGCUUCUCCUCUUUUUUGUCCAAAAAAAUAUAGAUCCGGCCUGUUCUGGUCAUUCUGAAAAGAUAAAUAAAACAGCAGCAGACACAAGAAUUGUUAUUAGAUGGGAGAUUGCAAGGGGAGGUUGGUGGGUUUUUGAAACUUUUACAUAUCUGGCUACAAGAGUGGCUAGUGCAAUGUAAUGCUGGCGAGUCAUGUGACGUUGAUUGGCGGGAAA